UACAUAGGGUGCAAGCGUUGUCGGAAUUAUUGGGCGUAAAGAGCUCUGUAGGUGGUUCGUCACGUCGGAUGUGAAACUCUGGGGCUUAACCCCAGCCUGCAUUCGAUACGGGCGAGCUUGAGUAUGGUAGGGGAGUCUGGAAUUCCUGGUGUAGCGGUGGAAUGCGCAGAUAUCAAGGAGGAACACCAAUGGCGAAGGCAGGGACUCUGGGCCAAUUACUGACACUGGAGGAGCGAAAGCGUGGGGAGCGAACAGGA
rnacentral:rRNA from 1 species